rnacentral:rRNA from 1 species
AGAGUUUGAUCAUGGCUCAGAAUCAACGCUGGCGGCGUGCCUCAGACAUGCAAGUCGAACGAUUAAAGCUCUCUUCGGAGAGUGUAUAGAGUGGCGCACGGGUGAGUAACACGUAAGUAAUCUACCCUCGAGUAGGGAAUAACAACCGGAAACGGUUGCUAAUACCGCAUAAUGCAGCGGCACCGCAAGGUGACAGUUGUUAAAGAUUUAUCGCUUGAGGAGGAGCUUGCGGCAGAUUAGCUAGUUGGUAGGGUAACGGCUUACCAAGGCUACGAUCUGUAACCGGUCUAAGAGGACGGUCGGUCACACUGACACUGAAUAACGGGUCAGACUCCUACGGGAGGCAGCAGUCGGAAUUUUGGGCAAUGGGCGAAAGCCUGACCCAGCAACGCCGCGUGAAGGAUGAAGUAUUUCGGUAUGUAAACUUCGAAAGAAUAGGAAGAAUUAAUGACGGUACUAUUUAUAAGGUCCGGCUAACUACGUG